GGCGAGUGAAAGGGAACAGCUCAAAUUUGAAAUCUGGCGAUCUUUUGGUCGUCCGAGUUGUAAUCUAGAGAAGUGUUUUCCGCGCUGGACCGUGUUUAAGUCCUUUGGAACAGGGCGUCAUAGAGGGUGAGAAUCCCGUCUACGACACGGACGACCAGGGCUUUGUGAUACACUCUCAACGAGUCGGGUUGUUUGGGAAUGCAGCUCAAAAUGGGUGGUAAAUUCCAUCUAAAGCUAAAUACAGGCGAAAGACCGAUAGCGAACAAGUACCGUGAGGGAAAGAUGAAAAGCACUUUGAAAAGAGAGUUAAACAGUACGUGAAAUUGUUGAAAGGGAAACGCUUAAAGUCAGUCGCGUCUUCAGAAAUUCAGCCUGGUCUUUUGACCUGGUGUACUUUUCUGUUGGACGGGUCAGCAUCAGUUUCUGGUCGUCAGAGAAAGGUGGGAGGAAGGUGGCACCCUAUGGGUGUGUUAUAGCCUCUUAUCGUAUGUGGCGGCUGGGACUGAGGACUGCAGCACGCCUUUAUGGCCGGGGUUCGCCCACGUAACGUGCUUAGGAUGCUGGCGUAAUGGCUUUAAA
rnacentral:rRNA from 1 species